rnacentral:rRNA from 1 species
UGGUGGAGUGAUUUGUCUGGUUAAUUCCGUUAACGAACGAGACCUCAGCCUACUAAAUAGGAUUCAUCGGUUAGCCGGUGUCUACCUUCUUAGAGGGACUUUGAGUGUUUAGCUCAAGGAAGAUUGAAGCAAUAACA